rnacentral:rRNA from 1 species
CAGUCGCCGCGGGAAUACGGAGGGUGCAAGCGUUAAUCGGAAUUACUGGGCGUAAAGCGCACGCAGGCGGUCUGACAAGUCAGAUGUGAAAUCCCCGGGCUUAACCUGGGAACUGCAUUUGAAACUGUCAGGCUGGAGUCUUGUAGAGGGGGGUAGAAUUCCAGGUGUAGCGGUGAAAUGCGUAGAGAUCUGGAGGAAUACCGGUGGCGAAGGCGGCCCCCUGGACAAAGACUGACGCUCAGGUGCGAAAGCGUUGGGAGCAAACAGGAUUAGAUACCCGCGUAGUCCCUGUCUCUUAUAC